AGUUCGGAUUGUAGGCUGAAACUCGCCUACAUGAAGCUGGAGUUACUAGUAAUCGCAGAUCAGAAUGCUGCGGUGAAUGCGUUCCCGGGUCUUGUACACACCGCCCGUCACACCACGGGAGUUGGAGACGCCCGAAGCCGAGUAUCUAACCUUUUGGAAGAAGUCGUCGAAGGUGGAAUCAAUAACUGGGGUGAAGUCGUAACAAGGUAGCCGUAUCGGAAGGUGCGGCUGGAUCACCUCCUUUCUAAGGAGA
rnacentral:rRNA from 1 species